GCUGUAGUGUAAUCGAUACAAAAAACAAACAGCUACAGCUCAAUUCUAGCCAAUUCUAAUACUCGUUCAACAUCUUUCUUCUAUUUCAGGUUGCAAUUUUCCACCUCUUCUUCUUCAAUCGGUCAAGAGUAUCAUUAUGCACACAAUUCCUGGCGAGCGAAGAGUACACCACCCUGACCAAGAUGCAGAACUUAUUAACAGGACCACUGAAGCACACACUCGCUGAAGGAAGUACAUGGGCUCCCCAAACCCUAUGUCGAUCACUCUCUACUAGACCAGAAACACACAGACGCUAAUUGAGCGUAAAAUUAGCUUGCUUCGCGCCAACACCAACCACCCCGGACAGAACCGACAUUCACCCGCGCAUUCAACUUACAAUAAAACUAGCUCAGGAAGACGCAAGUUGUAAACUGCUGAAGCUG